UUAUGGUAGGACCUGAGCUGGUGGAAGG
rnacentral:piRNA from 1 species